rnacentral:rRNA from 1 species
AUGCUCAUCCCCUUGCUCCUCCUGCUCUUCUCCAGCCUACAGCUCCCUACGACUGCCAUCGACACCCUCGCUCUAGGCCAAGCACUCCCAUGGAACGAGACACUGGUGUCCAAGGGCGGCGAGUUCGAGCUCGGCUUCUUCUCCCUCGGCAACUCCGGCAAGCACUACGUCGGCAUCUGGUACAAGAAGAUCUCCAAGCAAACGGUCGUCUGGGUGGCGAACCGAGAGCACCCGGUUGUCAAGCCGUCGACCUCCCGCUUCAUGCUCAGCAUCCACGGCGAGCUGCUUCUCCUCACGACGCCGUCGGACACCUUGCUGUGGUCGUCCAACGCGUCCUCCCGGUCGCCCCUGAGCACCACCGUCGCCACGCUCCAGGACGACGGCAACCUCGUGGUGAGGCGGAGCAACGCGACGUCGUCGUCUGCCUACCUGGUGUGGCAGAGCUUCGACCACCCCACCGACACCUGGCUCCCCGGGGCCAGGCUCGGCUACAACAGGGGCGCCGGCGUCCACAGCUUCCUCACUUCGUGGUCGGACGCCGAGAACCCGGCGCCCGGCGCGUUCACGAUGGAGAUCGACGCGCGCGGGCAGCCCAAGUUCGACCUGUUUUCCGACGCCGGCGGCGGCGAGCACCGCCAGUACUGGACGACCGGCCUGUGGGACGGCGAGAUCUUCGUGAACGUGCCGGAGAUGCGGUCGGGCUACUUCGCCGGGUUCCCCUACGCGCGCAACGGCACUGUUAACUUCUUCAGCUACCACGACCGGAUCCCGAUGAUGGGCGCCGGCAACUUCAUGCUUGACGUCAACGGGCAGAUGCGGCGGCACCAGUGGAGCGACAUGGCCGGGAAGUGGAUCCUCUUCUGCUCGGAGCCGCACGACGCCUGCGACGUCCACGGUUCGUGCGGCCCCUUCGGGUUGUGCAGCAACACCACCAGCCCCGCAUGCCAGUGCCCCGCCGGCUUCGCGCCGCGGUCGGAGCAAGAGUGGAAGCUGAGGAACACCGCCUCCGGGUGCGAGAGGCGGACCUUACUGGACUGUACCAAAGACAGGUUCAUGCAGCUGCCGAACCCCGUGCAGCUCCCGAAUGGCUCGUCGGAGGCCGCCGGAGUUAGGGGUGACAGGGACUGCGAGCGCACUUGCUUGAAAGAUUGCUCCUGCACCGCGUACGUGUACGAUGGAACAAAGUGCUCCAUGUGGAAGGGCGAGCUCGUUAACUUGAGGGCCCUCUCGACUGACCAAGGUGGCGAUCCUGGCCUCGCCGGAGUUCUUCUUCACCUCCGCCUCGCGCGCUCGGAGGUGGCAGCGUCGUCAUCGUCACCGGGGCAUUCCUGGAAGAAAUCGAUGGUGAUCCUCGGGAGCGUAGUUGCGGCCGUGGUGGUGCUCCUGGCAAGCCUCGUGAUUGGGGUGGCGGCGGCGGUGAUGCUGCGGAGGCGGCGGGGGAAGGGGAAGGUGACGGCGGUGCAGGGGCAGGGCUCGCUGCUGCUGUUCGACUACCUGGCCAUGAGGACCGCCACGAGGAACUUCUCAGAGAAGCUCGGUGGCGGGAGCUUCGGCACGGUGUACAAGGGCGUACUCCCGGACGCGACGCCGGUGGCCGUGAAGAAGCUGGACGGGCUCCGGCAGGGCGAGAAGCAGUUCCGAGCCGAGGUGGUCACCCUGGGCGUGAUCCAGCACGUCAACCUCGUCCGCCUCCGGGGCUUCUGCUCCGAGGGGAACAAGAGGGCGCUCGUGUACGACUACAUGGCCAACGGCUCGCUGGACUCGUACCUGUUCAAGAGCGGGAGCGGCGGCUCGGCGGCGAAGGUGUUGAGCUGGGGCCAGAGGUACGGCGUCGCGCUGGGCAUGGCCAGGGGCCUGGCGUACCUCCACGAGAAGUGCCGCGAGUGCAUCAUACACUGCGACAUCAAGCCGGAGAACAUCCUCCUCGACGACGAGCUGGGCGCCAAGCUCGCGGACUUCGGCAUGGCCAAGCUCGUGGGCCACGACUUCAGCCGCGUGCUGACCACGAUGCGCGGCACGCUCGGGUACCUCGCGCCGGAGUGGCUCGCCGGCUCGCCGGUCACCGCCAAGGCGGACGUGUACAGCUUCGGCCUCGUGCUGUUUGAGCUCGUCUCCGGCCGGCGCAACAACUCCCCGUCGGAGAAGGGAGGCUACGGGAUGUACUUCCCGGUGCACGCCGCGGUGAGCCUGCAUGAGGGCGACGUGGUCGGGCUGCUCGAUGAGAGGCUGGCCAAGGAGGCCGAUGUGAAGGAGAUGGAGAGGCUCUGCAGGAUCGCCUGCUGGUGCAUCCAGGACGAGGAGGCUGACCGGCCGACCAUGGGGCUCGUCGUGCAGCAGCUUGAAGGAGUCGCCGACGUCGGCUUACCGCCGGUCCCGUCCCGGCUUCACAUGCUGGCAAAGGUGAACGCAGGCGCCGGUGGAGGUGAACAGGAUGAAUUCUAUUCAGAGAGCAGUAACAAAGUAGCGACAGAAAAGGCGUGA